rnacentral:misc_RNA from 1 species
UGCCACCAGGUGGCGUUGACACAGAAAACUCCAAGCAUGGCGGACGGUUCUGAGAUGCGAAUUCUGAACGGGGACAAACCCCCGGACAGUACGUCACUAUCAGCCAAUGACCUUGCAAAAAAGUUGCAGAAGUCUAUGCUAAGGUUGAAGGGGGACUUCAUGACGGGGGAGGGCCGUGGCGUCAACUACACUGAUCUUGCCAAUAGUGAUGUUUUCAAAGAAUACAAGACUCAGGCUGCAUUGCUGCACAAUGUCAGUCUGGAGACUUUAUCACAAAAUCAACUCAAGGCUUUCUUCAUCAACAUCUAUAAUGCUUUAACCAUCCACGGCUUAGCGGAGAAAUCGGUGCUGCCUGACUCGGUGCUAAAGGUGAAUCAGUUCUGGAAGACCACAGCUUACAAGAUUGCAGGGCUGGUCUUUAACCUGGACGAUAUUGAACAUGGGGUGCUGAGAGGCAACAAGGCGCAUCCUGCCUCCACAGAACUACAGUUUGGUCCAAAGGACCCCCGCUUGAAGUACAAAAUGCUGACAACUGACCCACGGAUACACUUUGCUUUAGUCUGCGGGGCUAAGUCUUGCCCAGCUAUCCAGGUGUAUGGAGAGGACAACCUGGAACAGGCGCUGGAGGGAGCCAGCAAGAAUUUCUGUAAACAAGAAGUAUCAAUGUUCACGGAGACUGACGAGAUCUGGUUGUCCAAGCUGUUCCAGUGGUAUCGAGAAGACUUUGGCAAGAUCGACACAGAUGUCAUAAGAUGGGUAAUCCCCUACCUGGAGCCCAGCAUUCAAGACAGGGCCAACAUCCUGCUUCUGAAGCUGGAGACACAAGGAACAGUUGCCAUCAAGUUCAAUGAUUAUGAUUGGUCACUCAACAGUUCAUGAUAGUACAACAUCUCUGAUUGGUUCCCAUCUCUGCAUUUUGUCCCAACCAAUUAUGUUUUAAUGUCAGCAAUAUCUGUGAUGUCUGCCUACAGCUGCCUUUGUAUAACUUCCUGUAACCUUGUUCCCAUGGUCUUUCCAUCAAUAUCUUGAUCUUAAGUGUGGGGUGACCUGUCCAGGUGUGGAACUUUUAGCAGUGGUCAAACUAUUCUUUAAUAGGCUUCUUCCAAAUGUCACUGGGUUGAUUUGGCAGGUCUUGACAAGUUCAAGGCCAUGAUGUGGAAGUAUAUUUCAUAUAACUUUUAUCUUUAAGCCGAAUGUAAGUAUACCCUUUUAGGACAGGAUCCAGUUUGAAAGUUUUAUGGUUUAUCUCUUUAUUGUUAUCUCUUUGUCAGCUGACAGACAUGACCAAGCAUCAACGUUCAUAUUGUUUUAAAUCUCGGCAAAUCCUACAACAUGAACUACUAGGGCUUGUCUGUUGAAGGUCAGGGUCAUCAUGGAGGUUAUUAUGAAACAUGCCUGCAUUGCCAGUUACUGACUACUGUUGAACCAUUAGUACUGUGGUUAAUGAAGGCGAUUUGUGAAUCCUACUGCCGUGACUAAGUCCCUCUUUCUGACAAAUAUUGCUUAUCUCACACAACACAACACUCUUCAGUAUUGAACACUGCCAUGCUGGCUUCCACGAUUAUCUGUAGUUAGUGUCGCCAUGGUAACUGUUUUCAAGUAAAUGUGAGAUGGCAUGGUUCAUUGUUCUAGUCCUAUGACAGAAUUAACAUUCAAUUUUGUUCAAGUAGCAAGUAUAAUUAUUCAUUAUAAUUCCAUGUCUCUAUCUCGUCUGAAAAAAAGUUUGUUCCAAUAUUAAAGAGACAGAUGAUGAUGGAGAUACCUUAUUUAUCUUUUCAUCUGUGAGGUGUUGGCACCGAGUGUUACAUGUGUCUCCUCUUGCAUGUUUGCAAUAUAUACUACUUCCUCAUUGUAGUCAUAGCUUUCAUAUACUGUCAGUGUGACAACUGUUAAUCAUACACACACUUUUGUAUCUUCACUAAAAUAGAACAAAAAUACUAUAGCAAUUGUUGAAAAAUGUGUGUAUUGAUAUAAUGGAGUCAUUUGAAAAUCCAUCUUAGACUGUAUGGAGUGUUCCAGCGCCCCCUGGAGGCAACAUAACACAUACGUUACAUCAAUGGCCACACCUACUGUCCUCCCUCAGAGGUUGCUACUACGGCAUGAUGGAUGUGUUUGUCUCUGGCCACACCUACUUUCCUCCCUCAGAGGUUGCUACUACGGCAUGAUGGGUGUGUUUGUCUCUGGCCACACCUACUUUCCUCC